CCUAUCAUCAAAUUCAGAUGCCUGCAGCUGCGGUCUACUAACCUCUAUUAACAUCAUCUUGGGUGCUGCUUUGGCCUUAAGCUUCAUUCUGUUAGUCCUCCUCAUAUACAACCUCAAGACCAAACAAUGUUUUUGCUUCAAGGCUUGUCCACAAACAUGGAAUAAAAGAUCCAAUCGUGUACAGAAGAGAGAGGAAGAUUCUUUGGUUUACUCGGCCCCAACUAUUGUCGCCAGGAAAAGCGGCAAAUCGAACCAGACCAGGGACGAAUUCAGCACAUAUACUGAUGUCAGACUUCGGGAAUCCUAAAAUGAUGAAAUUAAUCUGAUGGCUUCU